rnacentral:rRNA from 1 species
AUUGAACGCUGGCGGCAUGCUUUACACAUGCAAGUCGAACGGUAGCAGGCCGCAAGGUGCUGACGAGUGGCGAACGGGUGAGUAAUGCAUCGGAACGUGCCCAGUCGUGGGGGAUAACGCAGCGAAAGCUGCGCUAAUACCGCAUACGAUCUAAGGAUGAAAGCGGGGGACCGUAAGGCCUCGCGCGAUUGGAGCGGCCG